UCUUGUUUUAAAGCCAAAUCUGGUAUUGGCACAAGAAUGAGAGAAGAAAUGCGAAGAUUACCAGCACGCAGAGGGAGGAGCAUGGAAAAUCUUGUAUCAGAGACUGACUCAUGCAGAAGAUUGUGCUGGAGAGCUACCUUCCUAGUAUCUCUGACUGCUCAACAUGUUAAUGCUAAGCUAAAAAUUGUGAGAGAUGUGUUGGGAAAGCCUGCUGCUGCACAAAUGCAGUGUCCUCAGAUGUUGAAUCACUUGUGCUGUUUGAUAAUCCGACCUCCUGAAGGAUUUGAAUGGCCCUCUCGACAAGACAUUUAGGAGACCAGAACUGGGGAACUACGUGCGCCUUGUCCUGGGCGUCUGCUGCUCUGAUGGCAGAGGCAUGGUGCUGGAGCUGCCUGGGCUUGACCUGACCCGGUCUGUGGGUUUUUUCACGUUAAAAUGAACGUACAGCAGCUGGUUCCUCUCCUGAGGCUUGGAAUUGUGCCUCGUCUUGAGCUAAUACUGAUAACUCUGACAGCUUCUAACCUGUUAAACGUGGAGCCUGGUCGCUCGUCCUUUCAAGUGACCGAGAGCGUAGAGUACUGCGUGGAGUUCUCCGGGCUGCCCUUCUGCGAGCAGCGUUGUCGCUGCUAAAGCACAGUGACACGUUUGGUGUUAGAGCAUGCUCCUGUAAGUAAGUGCUGUUCUGGAACACAGAGGAUGUUCGUAAUGGUGCGAAAGAGGUAAUGAUUUCACAGCAUCUGAUGGAAUGGAGAUACGUCACCUGUGGAUCAAAAUGACCUCGGUUCUCGUCUUGCUCUGUUACAAGUGUCAAGUGCACGGAGUUACUGGAGACGUUAAAAAAACAGCCGACGCUUCUGAGCUCUGUUAACUAUCACACACCAUUGUAGGGGGUGGAUAAUGACUUUCAAGUCUUACUUUUGAUAAAAGGAACGUAUGUUGUGAAUAAAAAGCCACUGUAGCAUUCAGUUUUAGAUGUUGGGAAACUACACGCCUCUAAAGACUUCGUCUUGGAUUUCUUGAAUCUGUAUUCUGAGAAUGUGAAGAUCUUUUUGAGGGUGUAACUUUUCAAAUCGUUUUCAAAGCUGUAACUACAAAUAGAAAUGAAGCAGGCCGUCAUCUUAAACAGAGGGGGAAUUUGAGUUAGUUGUAAUAUGCAGUAAGGUGUCUUAAAGAUUUCUUUUAAAACUUCCUUGAAGUUAGUUCAGGCCGGUGUGCGGUUUGUUUUACGUUUAAAUAAGAGCGAGGCUUGGGUGUGGCAGAAGUAGGCCUGCCACAUGUCUUUGCGAUACUGCUCUGAAUCACACCAGCUGACUGCAGCUUUAUUUCCACAGCAGAACACUUGGCUGCUUCAGGGAUGGGGAGCCACGAGGCAGUGCCAGGAACAAGUUGGUGGUGUCGGGCUGGUGUUUUUAGCUUACUGUGCAAACAGUUCUUCAUUAACACAGUUCGUUUUACCCAGCCUUUGAUAUCAAAAAAAUAAAUUCUGAGCUGACCAAUAGUCAGUUCUUAUAAAUUAAACUCUUUCUUGUAAAGACAAGUUCCCUAGAGAACUUCUGAGCAAUUUAUAACCCUUGCCCUUCGUUGUUUUUGCUGAUGUUUUAUUUCUUUUUUUCCCUGCUAAGACUGCAGUCGGUCUUCUUGCUGUGUUUGCUGUUUGUUUUUAGAUAUUUGAAGUAAAAAAAAUAAAAAUCAGGUGUGAUUUAUAUGAUUUAGAUAUGAGAAGGAAGAUUUUUGUCCAAGUCCCCUUCCCACUCCUCCGUUCCAACUGCUUGCAAAAUGACUUGGUUCAUGGUGUGUUUUAACAAGUUUUAGGACAUUUGUGACAGAAUUAGGGGAUGAAUUAGCCUCUUGUGUAGAGAAAUUAGUCUUUUUUUUUUUUGCAUUUGUUUGAUGUAGAAAACUUCCCCACACUUUAAACCUUAAAAGUCUGAGCAAGUGCUUUGAGUCUUACACUCCAGGCUUCUCAACCACCUCAGAGCUUGUGGGGUAAGAUGAGAGACUAGAGCUGUGGUCCGUGGACUGAAAUUGAAUACUUGAUGUCCUUAAAGCUGCUACAAGGCCAACAAGAUGCUUAAUGAACUGGUGCACAUGGAAAAAGCUUUCACUGGGCUCUGACCUUGCAGCUACAGAUGGUGACCUGAGGACGCUGCCUGUCGUGGAGGGCUGGAACUUGUUAGCUUUCCAUUAGCAGCAAUUUAUUGACUUCCAGAAUAACUUAGGGUCAGACUGAAGUUUUUGGUGUUUUAGGCUGGAGUUUGCUCUCGAAUAUGAUGGGAUUUCAUGAGGAUGAGAGGGUGGCACGUCAGCAUCCUGCAGGUGCUUUGAGCAGGGGGACCGCAGGCUUCAGGCACGCGUUGAGUUCCUCCACCUGCUCUCAGGAGGGAGCAAGAGGAGGCUUCAAGUAGGGUUUAAUGUCACCCUACAAGGAAGUCUCACCUGGGAACUUGAACAAGAAAUUGCACCUGUGGGUAGGAAGCUGAAGUGUCUAUUGAUGCGGUAAUAUGGAAAAUUCCAACUACUAAAUGCAGAAUAAUGAUGCCUUUAAUGUAUUUGUCUGCCUGUAAUACUGUUUUUGGUGGCUGGGCAGCCGGACAGAGUUGUUAGAUGUGCUGUGAGUAUCUUAUCAAAUUAAGGCUGAAAAAUAAACAGUUCUCACUUAAAAUCC